rnacentral:lncRNA from 1 species
AGCUGUUUAAUAACUUAGAGGGACGGAUCCUGAAGGGAGGUCACUGAGUAGGAGAUGCGCAAGUUCGUCAGACUUCUGGUGUACACGGGAAUCGUCCAAGUCCCGCGCCUGCAUUGCUAUUGGAGUCGACAACACAUAUUUACAGGCCUUCGUCCACCGUCAGUGAUGCCACGGAAAAGGUUCAAGGCGUUGCUUGCCUUCUUGAGUGUCUCUGAUCUAGGGGAA